rnacentral:rRNA from 1 species
UACGAAAAAUACAAACGUUACUCGGAAUCAUUGGGCGUAAAGCGCACGUAGGCGGCUCCAAAAGUCGAAUAUGAAAUCCCUCGGCUCAACCGAGGACGUGCAUCCGAAACUGCGGAGCUUGAGUAUGGAAGAGGGUCGCGGAAUCCCCAGUGUAGAGGUGAAAUUCGUAAAUAUCGGGGAGAACACCAGUGGCGAAGGCGGCGACCUGGACCAAUACUAACGCUGAGGUGCGAAAGCGUAGGGAGCAAAC